CGAAGACACGCGAGGUAGACCUUUAAUUCCAACGGAGUGAACUAUCAGCAACUACAAAAGAGAACCAUUUGUGCAUCUUUAAGCAUCGAUGCUUCAAAAAAGGGAUGGAUAACUGGGAUGCCUGAAUGAUGAUCACAGAAAUCCUAAAUGAAGGCAGUAGUUCUUAAAGAAGCCCACACCUGUGUCCGUUUUCUACAGGGAUAACUUUCCAGAUGAAGAAAUUACCCACUUCUAUGGUGAUUCUUCUUGGCCAUGGCAUUCAAGGGAAUUAUGUGAAGAGUCAUCAAUGGCAAUGAUCGAAUGUGGUUCGAAACACUUCCACAUCAGAUAAGGAGAAAG